rnacentral:lncRNA from 1 species
ACAUACUUCACUUAGUAUGAGAAUCUCUAGUUGCAUCCCUGUUGCUGCAAAUGGCAUUUUUCAUUCUCUUUUAUGCUUGAGUAAUAUUCCAUUGUAUAUAUGUACCACUUCUUCUCUAUCAAUUCAUUUGUCGAUGGACACUUAGGUUGCUUCCAUGUCUUGGAUAUUGUAAAUAGAGCUGCUAUGAACAUAGGAGUGUGUAUAUCUUUUAGAAUUAAGAGUUUUCUUCUGGAUAUAUGCCCAGAAGUGGGGUUGUUCUGGCUGUUGUGAAUGCCUGAAUCUUGACAACAAUCUUCACAUGCUAAAGAAACAUAAUAAACUAGAAGUUGAGUGCUUCCCUUCAAGAACAUGUUCCCGCCCCAGCAGAGUAUCAGUAGUCAAUUUUCUCCAUUUUUUCGUGCUCAUUAUUUCAGGAGAUUCCGUUUGAUGAGAGAGCUGCACAUACAAGAGACUUGCGGGAAGCAUGGACCUUAGUGAAAAAUGGCCUUUGGAGGAAGGAACCUGGCUGUCUCACGCUGGAGUUCAUCAUUUUGCCAACACCAGAGGGGACAACGAGUUUGUGGAAGCCUCUCCCGCGCCCUACAGCCCGGAGGAGUUCGGUAAGUCUGCCCUUUUUGCCUUUUCUUGUUAGAACCCAGCCUGGGAAUCGCGAAUUUGGAGUCCAUGCCCGAGGGGCGGAGAGAAAGGGCUGGCUGGGGACUCUCGCCCUGCUGCACGUUCCUUUGCUGUGAGAACUGGCCUUUUCCUGGAGCGUGAGCUUUGGAGGUGGCAGGGUGAGAGUCGGCUGUGCGGUGUGUGCGUGUGUGUGUGUGUCCUGGUCUUUGGUGAUGCUCCCAGGAGCGCCACAGCAAACUUCCUGAUCUGCGGGACCCUGCAAGCAGGCGGUCUCAUCCUGCCUGGAAAGAUGUAGCUAGCCGGUAAAUGCCACAAG